AUGCAGUGCAAAAAAAGGAUGCAUUGCAAAGAUAUUGUGGGAUGCAUUGCAAAAAAGGGAUGCAUUGCAAAGAUACAAUGGGUUGCAUUGCACAAAAGGGAUGCAUUGCAAGGUUUUAAUGGGAUGCAUUGCAAAAAUGGGAUGCACUGCAAGGAUAUAAUGGGAUGCAUUGCAAAAAAGGGGGUGUAUUGUGAAGAUAGAAUGGGAUGCAGUGCAAAAAAGGGAUGCAUUGCAAAUAUAGAAUGGGAUGUAUUGCAAAGAUAUCAUGGGAUGCAUUGCAAGAAUGGGAUGCAUUGCAAAAAUAGAAUGGGAUGCAUUGCAAAGAUAGAGUGGGAUGUAUUGCAAAACUGGGAUGCAUUGCAAAAUAGGGAUGCAAAAAACCGAUGCAUUGCAAAGAUACAGUGGGUUGCAUUGCAAAAAAGGGAUGCAUUGCAAAAAAGGGAUGCAUUGCAAAAAAGGGAUGCAUUGCAAGGAUACAAUGGGUUGCAGUACAAAAAAGGGAUGCAUUGCAAAUAUAGAAUGGGAUGCAUUGCAAAAAAGGGGUGUAUUGUGAAGAUAAAAUGGGAUGCAUUGCACAAAGGGGAUGCAUAGCAAAACUAGAAGGGGCUGCAUAGCAAAAAGCAAAGGCUGCAUUGCAAAGAGGAGCUGCCCGUUGUGCUCCAGGCGCUGCAAAGUGCUAUUUAUGGGGCUGGAAUGCAGGGAGUGCANNNNNNNNNNNNNNNNNNNNNNNNNCAAAAAAGGGAUGCAUUGCAAAGAUACAAUGGGAUGCACUGCAAAAAAGGGAUGUACUGCAAAUAUAGAAUGGGAUGCAUUGCAAAGAAGGGAUGCAUUGCAAAGAUAUGGUGGGUUGCAUUGCAAAAACAUAAUGGGAUGCAUUGCAAAAAAGGGAUGAAUUGCAAAGAUAUUGUGGGAUGCAUUGCAAACAUAUAAUGGGAUGCGUUGCAAAAAAGUGGUGUAUUGUGAAGAGAGAAAGGGAUGCAUUGCAAAAAAGGGAUGAAUUACAAAGAUAGAACAGGAUGCAUUGCAAAAAAGGGACGUAUUGCAAACAUAUAAUGGUAUGUGUUGCAAAAACGUAAUGGGAUACAUUGCAAAAAAGGGAUGCAAUGCAAAAAAAGGGAUGAAUUGCAAAUAUAGAAUGGGAUGCACUGCAAAGAUAUCAUGGGAUGUGUUGCAAAGAGGGGAUGCGUUGCAAAAAAGAGAUGUAUUGCAAAGAUACGAUAGGAUGCAUUGCACAAAAGGGAUGCAUUGCAAAGAUACAAUGGGAUGCAUUGCAAAAAAGGGCUGCAUAGCGAAGAUAGAAUAGGAUGCAUUGCAAAAAAGAGAUGGGGGGUGCAUUGCAAAGAUAUAAUGGGAUAUGUUGCAAAAAAAGGGAUGCAUUGCAAAGAUAGAAUGGGAUGCAUUGCAAAAAUGGGCUGCGUGGCAAAUAUAGAAUGGGAUGCAGUGCAAAAAUGGGAUGAAUUGCAAAAAUAGAAUGGAAUGCAUUGCAAAAAGGGGGUGUAUUGUGAAGAUUGAGUGGGAUGCAGUGCAAAAAAAGGAUGCAUUGCAAAGAUAUCAUGGGAUGCAUUGCAAAAAUGGGCUGCAUAGCAAAGAU
rnacentral:lncRNA from 1 species